UGCUCCCUGAUGUUAGCGGCGGACGGGUGAGUAACACGUGGGUAACCUGCCUGUAAGACUGGGAUAACUCCGGGAAACCGGGGCUAAUACCGGAUGGUUGUUUGAACCGCAUGGUUCAAACAUAAAAGGUGGCUUCGGCUACCACUUACAGAUGGACCCGCGGCGCAUUAGCUAGUUGGUGAGGUAACGGCUCACCAAGGCAACGAUGCGUAGCCGACCUGAGAGGGUGAUCGGCCACACUGGGACUGAGACACGGCCCAGACUCCUACGGGAGGCAGCAGUAGGGAAUCUUCCGCAAUGGACGAAAGUCUGACGGAGCAACGCCGCGUGAGUGAUGAAGGUUUUCGGAUCGUAAAGCUCUGUUGUUAGGGAAGAACAAGUACCGUUCGAAUAGGGCGGUACCUUGACGGUACCUAACCAGAAAGCCACGGCUAACUACGUGCCAGCAGCCGCGGUAAUACGUAGGUGGCAAGCGUUGUCCGGAAUUAUUGGGCGUAAAGGGCUCGCAGGCGGUUUCUUAAGUCUGAUGUGAAAGCCCCCGGCUCAACCGGGGAGGGUCAUUGGAAACUGGGGAACUUGAGUGCAGAAGAGGAGAGUGGAAUUCCACGUGUAGCGGUGAAAUGCGUAGAGAUGUGGAGGAACACCAGUGGCGAAGGCGACUCUCUGGUCUGUAACUGACGCUGAGGAGCG
rnacentral:rRNA from 1 species